rnacentral:rRNA from 1 species
AUUGAACGCUGGCGGCAUGCUUUACACAUGCAAGUCGAACGGUAACAGGCCGCAAGGUGCUGACGAGUGGCGAACGGGCGAGUAAUGCAUCGGAACGUGCCCAGUCGUGGGGGAUAACUAAUCGAAAGAGUAGCUAAUACCGCAUACGAUCUAUGGAUGAAAGCGGGGGACCGUAAGGCCUCGCGCGGUUGGAGCGGCCGAUGUCAGAUUAGGUAGUUGGUGGGGUAAAGGCUCACCAAGCCAACGAUCUGUAGCUGGACUGAGAGGACGACCAGCCACACUGGAACUGAGCCACGGCCCAUACUCCUACGGGAGGCAGCAGUGGGGAAUUUUGGACAAUGGGCGCAAGCAUGAUCCAGCAAUGCCGCGUGCAGGAAGAAGGCCUUCGGGUUGUAAACUGCUUUUGUGCGGAACGAAACGGCUCUGGUUAAUACCCGGGGCUAAUGACGGUACCGUAAGAAUAAGCACCGGCUAACUACGUG